CUGGGCAUAAAGCCUAUUAAAUAAAAAUCUUAAAUUGAAUCAAAUCUCUUAUAAUAAUACAUAAAAGCUCUGGGAGGGUUGGGGGUACAUCUGGGUAACAUUUUAACAUUUAAUAUAUUUUGAUGUGUGUGUAUAUAUAUUAAAUUUCUUUAUUUUGUUUUCUCAGCCUUUAAACAUCUAAACAUGUCCUCCAAAAAGGUUUCCUGUGCUGUUUUGCUCCAUUUUACAGAACAAAAUAAGGCUGAGGUAGCACCAUCCUUGUGGUUAGAGUGAAAGAAUGUGGGUAUUGAGACCAAAAUAAAUAAUGUGCCAUUCUGGACAAGCAGCUGUGGACAAUAUAUGCAGUCAGAGUAGCCCAUUUUCUCACACAGAUGAGGAGCAACCAGUAAGAAAAAGCAAAAAGAUGUUUUGAUGUUGCCUGAGGCACCUUAUUCACAUCAGUCAAUUUCUUCCAAUACUGAAUCAAGAAAUCCUGGAGUGGAGAAUCAUUCUGAAAGUAGACCAAAUACAGGACAACACCACAGCAGUGGUUGGAAAAAUGCAGGAGACAAUGAGCAAGCCAAGCUGAGUUUCAAAAGAUGAUUUGUUAUCUGUUUCUUCAAAGGGGAUGCAGUUUGGGAGAUGGGAAAUAGGAGGAUGCUACAGUUACACAGGGCGAAUUUCAGCAGCUCAGUUUCACACUUGCAACUAACAAUGAAUUAUAGCUAGAAGACAACGAAAAUAUUUGACAUGGGAGUCCAGCAGACAGCCAGGGACACGCACACACACGGAGCUGAAGCGCGUUUGACUGACGCGUACGGGAGAUCAGGCACGCGCACGGGAGCUCGCGCACGCACACACAAACACGGAGCACAGGAAAAUUACAACUGUUCAAUUAAAAUAAAAUAACUUUGUGGUAAACAAUGUUUAGCGUGUCUGAUUUAAUUUGUUGUAAUGAAAUAAAACGAUGUGCUGAGGACUUUAGGCGAACGUCCCCUAAAAGUCCCGAAAGUCCGCUGACCGUCCUGCAAACGUCCUUGUGAAAGUCCGGAGGACGUCUUCGCGGACGUCCGCUCGACGUAACAGAGGACCCUACACGAUAACGUCCAUUUCCAUUUCAGAAAGGUGGCAACCCUAUGUAAAUCUUUUGUGCCCAUGUGUAAUCUCAAGUUUAAAUUUUAGCAGUUAACUGGUAUAUUCCUUAACAAAGAUAAUAGCGGCAAAAACAGAUCUAUAUGCAAUGUUACCCAAUUUACGCUUGUAAAGCGACGAAGCAGUCGCUCUGACGCGUGCACACAUGUAUCCGUGUCCACGCGCGUCUUUGCGUUCCUCCGCGCGCGCAACUGCAUCCAAAAGGGGACGCCACGCGAAUGAGUUAGUAUGAAAACAUGACGAGAAGUAAGUUUCUAAAUCAUAAUG